GAUGAAGAACGCAGCGAAAUGCGAUACUUGGUGUGAAUUGCAGAAUCCCGUGAACCAUCGAGUCUUUGAACGCAAGUUGCGCCUCAAGCCAUUAGGUUGAGGGCACGUCUGCCUGGGCGUCACAUAUCGUUGCCUGAUGCCAGUUUCCUCGUGAUGGGUGACUGUGCAGGGCGAAUGAUGGCUUCCCGUGAGCAUUGUUGCCUCAUGGUUGGUUGAAAAUUGAGUCCUUGGUAGGGAGCGCCGUGAUAGAUGGUGGUUGAUUGACGAACGAGACCCAAUCAUGUGAGACCCCUACCGAAUUUGGCCUUCAUGACCCACAUGCGUCUUUGGAACGCUCAUGACGAGACCUCAGGUCAGGCGGGGCUACCCGCUGAGUUUAAGCAUAUCAAUAAGCGGAGGA
rnacentral:misc_RNA from 1 species